rnacentral:rRNA from 1 species
UACGGGGGGGGCAAGCGUUGUUCGGAAUUAUUGGGCGUAAAGAGCUCGUAGGCGGUGUGUCACGUCGGCCGUGAAAACCUGGGGCUUAACUCUGGGCGUGCGGUCGAUACGGGCAUCACUAGAGUUCGGCAGGGGAGACUGGAAUUCCUGGUGUAGCGGUGAAAUGCGCAGAUAUCAGGAGGAACACCGGUGGCGAAGGCGGGUCUCUGGGCCGAUACUGACGCUGAGGAGCGAAAGCAUGGGUAGCGAACAGG